CCAUUUUGUGAAGUGUAAAGGAAGUCGGGCCUGUUGCUGGUAACGGCAGCGACAGGGUUCAGGGGGGAGGGGGUUAUCAUCCAGGGCACGAAAGCGGCCGCUGAAGGAGAACAGGGGCAGGCAGGGGGGCGGUGAAAGACACAGAGCCGAGCUGGUUAAACCAGGGAGGCGCUGCCGGAGCACGCGGGUGACAACCCGGAACAGAGGAGGUGGAACGCGGAGACAGGAGUGGAACGCGCCCGGACCGUUCUAGAACGCCGAGACAUGUCGAAGCGGCACCGCGUGGACCUGGGGGACGAUUACUCGACCAACAAGAAGCGCGUCACCUCGGACGGGCGAAAAGAUAGAGACCGAGACCGUGACAAAGAUUAUGAACGCUCAAAGGAGCGAGAUAGGGAUCGUGAUAGAGAUCGAGAACGCGAUCGUGAUAGGGAUCGGGAACGCGAUCGUGAUCGUGAAAAAGAUGCAAGGAACUUGCCUAAUGCAGCUUUGACAACAGGAGGCAAUGUGCCUCUCAUUUCCACACCGGCACUUCACCAACAGGCUAUCAAUCCAUUCACCAACUUGCCCCACACGCCACGCUAUUAUGAGAUCCUGAAAAAGAGACUGCAGUUGCCUGUGUGGGAUUACAAGGAAAGGUUCGGUGACAUCCUGGCCAAACAUCAAUCAUUUGUGCUUGUUGGCGAGACUGGCUCUGGAAAAACAACGCAGAUUCCUCAGUGGUGCGUUGACUACGUGCGAGCUGUGGUUGGACCCAAGCGGGGUGUGGCCUGUACUCAACCCAGGAGGGUGGCUGCCAUGAGUGUAGCCCAGCGAGUGGCUGAUGAAAUGGAUGUGAUGCUGGGCCAGGAGGUUGGCUACUCCAUCAGAUUUGAAGACUGCAGCAGUGCAAAGACCUGCCUGAAAUACAUGACUGAUGGUAUGUUGCUUCGAGAAGCAAUGAAUGACCCUUUACUGGAGCGAUACGGAGUCAUCAUCCUUGAUGAGGCCCAUGAGCGUACAUUAGCAACCGAUAUUCUUAUGGGUGUAUUAAAAGAAGUUGUGAAGCAGAGAUCAGAUUUGAAGAUUAUCAUCAUGAGUGCCACACUUGAUGCAGGCAAGUUUCAGGUCUACUUUGACAGUUGCCCACUGCUCACUAUUCCUGGUCGUACACAUCCUGUAGAAAUAUUCUAUACUCCAGAACCAGAGAGGGACUAUCUGGAGUCAGCGAUUCGAACAGUUAUUCAGAUACAUAUGUGUGAAGAAGAGGAGGGAGAUGUUCUUCUCUUCCUUACGGGUCAAGAGGAAAUUGAUGAAGCUUGUAAAAGGAUAAAACGUGAAAUUGAUGACCUGGGACCUGAAGUUGGAGACAUCAAGAUCAUUCCACUUUAUUCCACACUUCCACCCCAACAACAACAAAGGAUAUUUGAGCCUCCACCACCAAAAAAACCAAGUGGCGCCAUAGGAAGAAAGGUUGUUGUGUCUACAAAUAUUGCUGAAACCUCACUCACUAUUGACGGAGUUGUGUUUGUAAUCGAUCCAGGCUUUGCGAAACAGAAGGUAUAUAACCCAAGGAUUCGAGUUGAAUCAUUAUUGGUGACUGCCAUCAGCAAAGCAUCUGCACAGCAAAGAGCUGGCCGUGCUGGUCGUACCAGACCAGGGAAGUGCUUCAGACUUUACACUGAAAAGGCCUACAAAACUGAAAUGCAGGACAAUACAUACCCUGAAAUUUUGAGAUCCAAUCUGGGUUCUGUAGUUCUUCAACUGAAGAAACUUGGCAUUGAUGACUUGGUACAUUUUGACUUCAUGGAUCCACCAGCGCCUGAGACACUGAUGAGGGCGUUGGAACUUUUGAAUUAUUUGGCUGCACUGAAUGAUGAUGGCGACCUGACGGAACUUGGGUCCAUGAUGGCAGAAUUCCCAUUAGAUCCACAGUUGGCCAAGAUGGUCAUAGCCAGUUGUGAGCACAACUGUUCAAAUGAGAUUCUCUCCAUCACCGCAAUGUUGUCAGAUGUGAGUAGGUGUUGAUGUUUGGUACCAAGCCAAGGUAGUAGACAAUCCAAGAUGCAGUUGGUGACCAUUUCCCAUCAUGCCCUGCCCAUUGCUCUCUGAACUGACCUAGCUAGGCCUUGUUCCUGUGUCUGUGAAUGAGUGACUCAUCCAUAUGGGCGUCUGUGUUGGGCCCAUACCAACAUUGUUUAGUCCCACAGUGUUUUGUUCGCCCAACGGAAGCUAAGAAAGCAGCUGACGAAGCCAAGAUGAGGUUCGCACAUAUAGAUGGAGAUCACCUGACCCUGCUCAACGUUUACCAUGCAUUCAAGCAGAAUCAUGAGUCGGUUCAGUGGUGCUAUGACAACUUUAUUAACUACAGAUCCUUGAUGUCUGCUGACAAUGUACGCCAGCAGCUGUCACGAAUCAUGGACAGAUUCAACCUGCCUCGGAGGAGUACGGAAUUCACAAGUCGAGAUUAUUACAUAAACAUUAGAAAGGCACUGGUUUCUGGCUACUUCAUGCAGGUGGCGCACUUGGAACGUACAGGCCAUUAUUUGACAGUGAAAGAUAACCAGGUUGUGCAGCUUCAUCCUUCUACAGUCCUGGACCAUAAACCUGAGUGGGUGCUCUACAAUGAAUUUGUACUCACCACUAAAAACUAUAUCCGGACCUGUACAGAUAUCAAACCUGAAUGGUUAGUGAAGAUAGCUGCUCAAUACUAUGAAAUGGGCAACUUUCCUCAGUGUGAAGCCAAAAGACAACUGGAACGCAUUAUUGGCAAACUUCAGUCAAAGGAAUAUUCUCAAUAUUGAAGUUAUGUUAAUGUAGGAGACCAGGCAAAUGCAGAUUUCAUAUUGAAGAAAUAUGGACUUCAAAUUCUGCCCAAAUAUAACAAAUUUAAUUUGUCGAUUCAAGAAAACCUUUGGAUGUUUUCUUUCAAGUGGAUGGACAAUUCCUCACUUUUAUUUUUUAAAAGAAUCCUUGUUUAUGGCAGGUUGUGUAACACUCUGUUGAGCAACAUAGUAUGUUGCUGGUGUUAUGUGGCUUUUUUUAUUGUUAUGUUGACUUUUGUCAUAGACCCUGUUGGGUUUUGAUGGGUUGGGGUGGGCAAAGGUUUCAGAAUAAUGCUGUAACUGUUAAUUUUUAAAGUUUCAUCAUUAUUACAAUAUUGUCUGAAUUUCUCAUAGUGAUUCAGAGUUGCCGAUUAAAGUAUGUACUUCUCAACCACAUACUGCAUGAUUCUGCCCAUGUUGACAUUCUUAAUAGAAAGUUGUAGCGACUCAAAGAACAUGGAAAACUUACAUAUGUAGGCACCUGAAUUUUCCCAACCAAUUUUUGACUUAAAUAAAGGUAUAGUGACAAAU